rnacentral:rRNA from 1 species
GACGAACGCUGGCGGCGUGCUUAACACAUGCAAGUCGAACGGAAAGGCCCUGCUUUUGUGGGGAGCUCGAGUGGCGAACGGGUGAGUAACACGUGAGUAACCUGCCCUUGACUUUGGGAUAACUUCAGGAAACUGGGGCUAAUACCGGAUAGGAGCUCCUGCUGCAUGGUGGGGGUUGGAAAGUUUCGGCGGUUGGAGAUUGACGCGCGGCUUAUCAGCUUGUUGGUGGGGUAGUGGCUUACCAAGGCUUUGACGGGUAGCCGGCCUGAGAGGGUGACCGGCCACAUUGGGACUGAGAGACGGCCCAGACUCCUACGGGAGGCAGCAGUGGGGAAUAUUGCACAAUGGGCGCAAGCCUGAUGCAGCAACGCCGCGUGCGGGAUGACGGCCUUCGGGUUAUAAACCGCUUUCGCCUGUGACGAAGCGUGAGUGACGGUAAUGAGUAAAGAAGCACCGGCUAACUACGUG